rnacentral:rRNA from 1 species
UGGCGGACGGGUGAGUAAUGUCUGGGAAACUGCCCGAUGGAGGGGGGUAACUACUGGAAACGGUAGCUAAUACCGCAUAACGUCGCAAGACCAAAGAGGGGGACCUUCGGGCCUCUUGCCAUCGGAUGUGCCCAGAUGGGAUUAGCUAGUAGGUGGGGUAAAGGCUCACCUAGGCGACGACCCCUAGCUGGUCUGAGAGGAUGACCAGCCACACUGGAACUGAGACACGGUCCAG